CCUACGGGCGGCAGCAGUGGGGGAUAUUGCACAAUGGGGGGAACCCUGAUGCAGCGACGCCGCGUGGGUGAAGAAGCGCCUCGGCGCGUAAAGCCCUGUCAGCAGGGAAGAAAAUGACGGUACCUGAAGAAGAAGCCCCGGCUAACUACGUGCCAGCAGCCGCGGUAAUACGUAGGGGGCAAGCGUUAUCCGGAUUUACUGGGUGUAAAGGGGGCGCAGACGGCGAUGCAAGCCAGGAGUGAAAGCCCGGGGCCCAACCCCGGGACUGCUCUUGGAACUGCGUGGCUGGAGUGCAGGAGGGGCAGGCGGAAUUCCUGGUGUAGCGGUGGAAUGCGUAGAUAUCAGGAGGAACACCGGUGGCGAAGGCGGCCUGCUGGACUGCAACUGACGUUGAGGCCCGAAAGCGUGGGGAGCAAACAGGAUUAGAUACCCGAGUAGUC
rnacentral:rRNA from 1 species